GAGGGAGGGAGGGAGGGGGCCCCAGCUGGCAGGAGCGGAGCCAGAGAGAGAAAAGUUUCCCGUAGUCUUCAUUAGUUGACUCCUCUGUGAGCUGCUUCCCCCAGCCAGCGGAGCUCACCCCCAAUAAAGGAAGAAGGGGGGUCUCUUUUUCUUAAGGCCCCAAAGAGUCCAGUGUUUACAAGAUCAGAAAUGCCACGGCCACGUCCUGGCAGAAAGAAAGGCUGAAAUGGAGGACCGUGGCCUUCCUUAUAAGCUCCUUGGCUCCAGAUUCAGCACCAACUUGGUAGAAAAAGCAACCAUGACGCCAGAGAGAGAGCCACAGGAGAGAAGAGCGCAUCAGACCAGCCUGAGAUGAAAGGGAACCGCGCGGAGAAAUACAGAGAAAGGAGGCGGUGGCAGGUCUCUGAACAAACGCGGCAGAGGGCGAGAGAGGCACUCAUAGACAGAGGAGCCCUGGAGUGCCCAGCACAAACCUGGAACCUGCCUGUUAGCUCAGCCUGCCUGUUACACACUUCCCCAGCACUGCAUUUCCUCUUCCCCCUUUCCUAACUGGCAGCCCAGAGUAAUUUCAUAGUAUAUUUAUAUUAAGUCUAGAAGAACACAUCCUGAGACACAGGGGAUAACCUAAUUCUAUAAUGGUAAUUCAUUCACUAGUGAUUAUGCAGUCAGACCCUACUGCAAACAGGACUUAGCACUCUAACUACAGACCCUGACUUCAGAUCAGAGAUGCUGCCAGGAGCUAGAGAUAGAAGACCAUUUAUAUAAAUGAUCCGUGCAGAUAUAGAAGGAGUUUUAAAAAGACAGAAAUAAUAGAAAUACAAAAGGACAGAAAAGAGGCUAGCCAAUGGAAAUUGUCAUUGCCAAUGCCCAGUCUUCCUCCCGUUACUGUUUUAAAGACUGCCUGAGAAAUGUGUAUUAUAAAUACAGCAAAUAAUAUGUGAACUCAAAGAAUGUUCAAUUGUAUUUGGUACACACCAUGUAUGCAAACAUAAUUUAUAGAAUAUGUUUUUUCAUAUACUGGGUAGAUAGGCACUUUGUGUAUAUAUAAUAAUAUGGUGUAUUUUAAUGCAGUUUUAUGUGGAUAUAUUAAUAUCUGGAUGCAUUUUCUAUGCACUGAUUUUAUAUGUCUAUACCUAUGUAGCUAAAUAGAUGCAGGACUGUACAUUCCCUGUGUAGGAUAUAUGGAAACUGUUUAUAUAUGUAAACGAAUUUUACAUGUGGUGGAUAUGCAUGCUUUAUGUAAUCUUUUCUCAGGAGGUUGCUUUUCUGUACAAUAGCUAGAAGUGCUUUUGUAUGUAUAUUUUCUAGAGAAAUAUAUUUUCCAUGCCCAGAAUGUAUAUGUAAUAUAGAUAUCUGUGCGUUUUAGACGGUUUCAAUAUAUUCAUUAUGUCGGCA